UCUCUUUCUUGCAAAGGUGUCAGAAAUGAACUUCUGUGCUACUGUAGACCCUGGGAUAGGGACUGAGAGGAGAUGCUUUCUGCCUUGUUUAUGCUAUGGCUGGUGGCUGGGUCAGGUGGAAUUGCUUUAACUGGUGUUCCUGUCUUCCUUGUCCUUGUGGGUGCUGUAUCACUGGGGAACCUCAAGGGAUGUCCUGAUGGUACCUUUUUCUGCCCCAGAAUGUCCCUGUCAGGAGACUGUGGAGCUGACAUAGCAGGUGAAAGUCAGAGAAAAGACAGAGAAAGAAGGAAGGAUAGAAGUAGAGAGAGAAGCAAAAGAGGGAAUAUUUCAACAAAAAGAAAAAGACUAACAGCUCAGCGUCCAAAUCCACUGCAUGUGGGGAUAUAAGAGAAGAUCCUGCUGGGUGUAUCUCCAUAGUGCAGACAACCUAUACAGACUGCCCGCCGACGACCGGGGUCUCUUGGCGUUUCAUCUCUUCUUACUUGGCGUGGGUGUAUCUAAACAACAUCUAUUUCUUAUAACAGAGUGUUGAUAGAAUUUCUCAAUAAUUACCCUUGGGUGAGGAGGCUUCAGGCAAGACCCAGCAGUGCAAUGCAGUCUUUGCAACCAUUGUCCUAGUGGCAAGAAUGUACAGAAAUUUGAUUUCUUGAAAGUAAUCUUCACAUUUUUUAAAUUAAGGUUAAAAUGUAAUGCCUGACUCCCAAUAAAAUACAAUGGAAGUCAGGUGUCUACCUCCAUUAGGCAUCUUUGAAAAUCCUGCCUACACAAAUUGAGCACUUGCAAACAA